UACGUAGGGCGCGAGCGUUGUCCGGAAUUAUUGGGCGUAAAGAGCUCGUAGGCGGCCUGUUGCGUCCGCUGUGAAAGCCCGGGGCUUAACCCCGGGUCUGCAGUGGAUACGGGCAGGCUAGAGGUAGGUAGGGGAGAAUGGAAUUCUCGGUGUAGCGGUGAAAUGCGUAGAUAUCGAGAGGAACACCUGCGGCGAAGGCGGGUUGCUGGGCUGACACUGACGCUGAGGAGCGAAAGCGUGGGGAGCGAACAGG
rnacentral:rRNA from 1 species